AAAACACUGGAGAUGUUGGACGGGCCGGUGGCUCCACAAAUGUCAAAUCUCAGACUGAGCUCAGAGAUGUUGGACAGAGGAGAAAACGAGGUGAUCCAGGGAAGAGC